rnacentral:rRNA from 1 species
GAUGAACGCUGGCGGCGUGCCUAAUACAUGCAAGUCGAGCGAACGGACGAGAAGCUUGCUUCUCUGAUGUUAGCGGCGGACGGGUGAGUAACACGUGGAUAACCUACCUAUAAGACUGGGAUAACUUCGGGAAACCGUAGCUAAUACCGGAUAAUAUUUUGAACCGCAUGGUUCAAAAGUGAAAGACGGUCUUGCUGUCACUUAUAGAUGGAUCCGCGCUGCAUUAGCUAGUUGGUAAGGUAACGGCUUACCAAGGCAACGAUGCAUAGCCGACCUGAUAGGGUGAUCGGCCACACUGGAACUGAGACACGGUCCAGACUCCUACGGGAGGCAGCAGUAGGGAAUCUUCCGCAAAGGGCGAAAGCCUGACGGAGCAACGCCGCGUGAGUGAUGAAGGUCUUCGGAUCGUAAAACUCUGUUAUUAGGGAAGAACAUAUGUGUAGGUAACUGUGCACAUCUUGACGGUACCUAAUCAGAAAGCCACGGCUAACUACGUG